AAGAAGGGGCCAGUGUAGACGUAGCCUGUGUGAUUUGGUUUUCGUUUUUGUUUUGCUUUGCUUUUGGACAUUGUACAUCACCCUUCUGUUGCUGCCUUCUGUGUAACCCUAAUGUUAUAAUACCUUUUUGUUCCUGAAUAUGGCAAAAUCCUAAGACUAUAUACUGAUGGAUAGCAUAUAUUUGUUUGUAUUCGUAAUGUAGGGGUGUUUAAUACUUGGGAGAUAUGCAAAAUAAUAUUAAAUUAUGUUGUUUUAAAAGGAACACUUUACUUCAGAGGUGUAAAUAGGUACUUGAAGUUGUGGAAACUGUAUACCAGUAUAUGUUUAAGACCAGUAUAUUAUUUAAGAAAGCAGGAGCCUGACUUUUCUCUGUAUUUUACAGAUGUCAGCUAUGCUGAGGGCCACAUGUCUCCUAUAUUGAAGUCUAGCUCCACGACUACAUUUUGCUUCACUGAGAACUUAAUCUUUUCCUGUAUUUUACAGUAUUGUAUGUUGUUGAGGUGCAUAUAUCUGCUACUCUUCAUAUUAAAGCAAUAGUUUAUUUUAAACCCUUCAAACUGACCUCUUGGCAUCAUAUUAUUGUUUUAGUUUUGCUGCUUCUGCUCACUUUACAAUGGUUUAUUGCUCAGCUUUGAACUGUCAAAAUGCUACAAGUGGCGUAUAUAAGAACAAUACAGUUACUUUCUAUGGUUUUCCUUUGCAUAACAAACCUCUUUUGAAGCAGUGGAUUCACAAUAUGGGUCGGGAAAUGGGAACUCCGUCAAAACACCAACGACUAUGUUCUAAACAUUUUGAGGACAGUUCCUUUGAAAUUGAUCCUCUAAAAAUUAGAAAAAACCGACGCCUACUGAAAGAAGCAGUUCCCAAAAAAUUUAUUUUGGGUGAAGAUGGAAAUUGGCUUGUUGGAACACCUCAAAGUUUCUGUGGUGGAAUAAGUAAUAAAACUCGAAAACGAAUCCGGAAUCCUGAAAAUUUGAAGGUCCCAGGGACUUUUGAUACUGUUGCAGCUCCUGAAGGGAAGAAUUUAGAAGAGUGGCAAAAAGAGCUUUACAAAAAAGUGAUAAAGGACAAUUAUGAAUCUUUAAUCUCUCUGGGUAACGGUCAAAGCCACUGCCUUUAACAGAUAUUCCUGAAAACAGUGAUUUUGACACACACAAAUAGGUAGGCCAAAAAUCUCAUAAGCUGAAAAUAUAAACAGGCUCAAAAAUGGACACCUUUAACACUGUUGCUUCUGCUCCGUUUAUCUACUACCUCUGCAAUGUAAGUAUCUUAGUGUCAGAUAAUGUGACAUUCUUUGAAGUUGAAAAAUAUCUGUUAAGAUAUUAUGGGCAUUUUUUUUAAUUUUCUGUCCAAACUAUUCAGUCUCCAAACAUGAUAUUCAGUCAAGAGAAGAGCUACAUAUCAAGGCUCGGCAGGGCUUGGAGAAAAGAGAAAUGUCUGUGAAUCCUAGCAUAGAGGAUAAUGGGAUUGUGAUCAAAACUGAAGUGCAGAAUAAUGAGGACGCUCCAGAAAAUAUGGAAUUGCAUAGAUCAUUUUCAAGCUCAGAAGACCUGGUUUUCCAAACUUCUGACAGGGGAAUGACUUGUGAGAGUCGUUGGAGAACAGAAACAGAGCCAGGGAAUCUUACUGGAAACAGAAUGGGUAACACUACUUCGGAUGAAGGAGAUGGCAGUAAAUUCAGAGAGAUCCUUUUCUAUCAGGAAACACCCAUAGGAGAGAGACUAUACCUAUGUACAGAAUGUAAGAAAACUUUUAAGUUGAAGAUAGGCCUUCUAAAACACAAGCGAAUUCAUGCAAAAAAGAGUCCAGUAUCAUCAUACAUAUGUACAGACUGUGGAAAAAGCUUUGGUCGCCAUGCCGAUCUUAUUCGACACCAGAGAACUCAUACAGGAGAGAGACCUUAUAAAUGUACAGAAUGCCAGAAAAGCUUUACUGAGAAACCAAGACUUACUAAUCACUUACGAACUCACAACAUCUGCAUAUAACUACUGUGGCAAAAAUUUUAUGAGAACUGAUUUUCCACUCAGUCACCAUCAAACCCAUCUGAGAAUAUGGACCACACACACUUUACUGACUGGAGGAAAAGCUUUUGUUUAAGAAGACAUUUAUCACACUGAAUUCAACUCAAGCAUGUGUUGGACCUAUCCUUGUAGCUCCUCUGUUUAAACCUUGAGUAUCAAUUGAAUUUAUGAGCUAUCAAUGAUUCAUGCAGGGAGGAACAGACAUAUAAAAGAACAUUGACUAUACCAAAAAUACAUUUAAAAAAACAUUCUAAAAUAUCAACUCACCUAUAUUAGAGAGAGACUGUUUCAUUGCAGGAAAUGGAGAUUUUUGACAUGUGGAAUCUUUGACCACUUCACCAGGGACAGAGCAUGGUCAUUCACAGAAUUUUUGAUAGAAGUUAGAGCUUCAAAGAGCUCUAGAUCACAUUUAGAGAUUGGGCUUCUUUAGUAAUUGGGGGAUGGAUAGCUCAGUGGUUCGAGCAUUAGCAUGCUAACCCCAGGGUUGUAAGUUCAAUCCUUGAGGGGGCCAUUUAGGGAUCUGGGGCAAAUCUGUCAGGGAUGGUACUUAGUC